rnacentral:rRNA from 1 species
CCUACGGGUGGCAGCAGUGGGGAAUAUUAGACAAUUGGGGGAACCCUGAUCCAGCGACGCCGCGUGAGUGAAGAAGUAUUUCGGUAUGUAAAGCUCUAUCAGCAGGGAAGAAAGAAAUGACGGUACCUGCCUAAUAAGCCCCGGCUAACUACGUGCCAGCAGCCGCGGUAAUACGUAGGGGGCAAGCGUUAUCCGGAUUUACUGGGUGUAAAGGGAGCGUAGACGGCGAUGCAAGUCUGAAGUGAAAGGCGGGGGCCCAACCCCCGGACUGCUUUGGAAACUGUAUGGCUGGAGUGCAGAAGAGGUAAGUGGAAUUCGUAGUGUAGCGGUGAAAUGCGUAGAUAUUAGGAGGAACACCAGUGGCGAAGGCGGCUUACUGGACUGUAACUGACGUUGAGGCUCGAAAGCGUGGGGAGCAAACAGGAUUAGAUACCCGAGUAGUC